GGGUCAAACGAUCAAACCUAUUAUCUUUCUCUCCCAUCAUUUAUUAUCCACCCAAAUACUCAACCAAUUAUAUUUAGGAUUAACUUGUUUGGCCAGGCUCAAAGCCAGGCCGCCCUCCAGCAGGUUUGUUAUAUUUGUCUCUCAUUGCCGCCUCUCUCAUUGCCUUCUCUGUCUCUCUCUCAUUACCGUCUCUCACUAUCGUGUCUAACUCGUCCGUUUCUCCGGUCUGAAAUUCUCUGAAUCGACGAUGUGGGUCUAUGGAAUUUUCCCACUCAGGCGACGUGGGUCUGUGGAAUUGUCCGAAUCACGGAGUCGGUCUUUGGAAUUCUCCAAUCGACGAUGAAACAUAGAUUCGGUUAAAGCUCCUUAAAAAUCAAAGUUUGCUCGAUGGUAAGAUGGAACAGAGGUAUUUGUCAUAGUUGCUGACAGCUGGGUCACUCAUUGUCGAAAUGCUCCAGAAAGAGAAGAUGCCCAAAAUGUGAUAAGGGGUUCGUGAAAUGGAUGGAGGUGAGAAAAAAAUAGUGCGAACAAAGGACGGAUGUUCCAUUGCUAUACUCGUAACUAUCAGCAUUUCAAGUGGUGAGAUGUUUCGCCAUAUGACAAUGAGAUAGUGCAUUAUGAAGGUGAAUCAAGUGGUUCUUAUUCGGAUGAUUACUUGUAUGCCAAUCGGCUUUGUACAUGGUGCCACCACCACUACUCUUACCGCCCUGGAUGAUUACUUGUAGAUCAAUCGGCUAACCUUCCUCCUCAACCCCCACAUUUGUAUAUGUGAAUGUGCAAUCCAAUCCCAUUAAGUAAGACCAGGAAACACUCUCCCGUUCUUAUGGAAAAAGGACUCGCAUCACCACCAUAUGAAGAUUAAGAAGAAAAGUUACCCGUGUUGU